rnacentral:lncRNA from 1 species
CAAGACUCUCAUUCUCAUACUCACUUCCUCCAUUCUCUCGAUCUCUCCUCCCUCGAUCUCUCCUCCUUGAAUCUCCUUCAACCUUCCAACAUGCAAAAUCUCCUCUCCUUUAUUGCCGCCACCAUCAUCAUCAUUAUCGCCGCCGUCGAUGAGCUAGGGUACCGCGAGGUGGGCCUGAGAACUAGGGUUUACACUGAGGUGGUGUCGGCGAUGCUUGAAUCCGACGGCAAUUGAUCCAUUUCUCUCUCAAUUUGUCUGAUUCGUUCUGUCAGAGUCCUCUCGAGUUCUAGGGUUUACACGAAGAUGGCGUCGACGAUGACAUGAGGCUCCAGAAUCCUGAUCGGAGAUGCUCCGAGGGACCUGAGGGAUAGUAGAGAUAGAAGAUAGACGAUGAUGGCGCGACGACGAUAGCGAGCUCAUCGAUGAUGGUGGGCUCCAGAUCGACGAAGAUGACGCGACAACCACCACCCACCACCACUAUCGCCGGCGCGACAACCACCACCCACCACCACUAUCGAGGACAGUAUCAUCCUUGCGAGUUCUGGGUUCUGUUAUGUUUUUUUUUCCUGUUUAUAUGUUGAUUGUUGUUUCUUUUCAAUUUUGAUGUUUGAUCAUUGUUUGGUGGUUGGUUUUGUCUGUGUGCAUGAUUAAAGGGGUUUGAUUUGUUGUUUUUGCAUCUGGGCUUUCAUUUAUUGCUUGCUGUGCAGCUGUGCUGCUUGUUCUCGUAUGUGGUGGGGAAGACGACCUCAACGAGGUCGUCCCUUCUCUUCUAUGGCUAAAAGAAAAAAUGGGUACCCGUGGACCCGCCCGAACCGGCCCGUUUUAACCGGGCCGGGUAAUGUCCGGUUCCUAUACAAGAAAAUCCAAUCCCCGCCCCGUCCCGGCCCGUUUCGUUUAACCUCCGGUUCCUACAAACUUAGGUUCGGCCCGGCUCGCCCCGGCCCGUGCCCAGCCCUA